rnacentral:rRNA from 1 species
UUGACCUCGAAUCAGGUAGGGAUACCCGCUGAACUUAAGCAUAUCAAUAAGCGGAGGAAAAGAAACCAACCGGGAUUACCUUAGUAACGGCGAGUGAAGCGGC